AAGUCGAACGCAUCCUUCGGGAUGAGUGGCAGACGGGUGAGUAACACGUGGGGACGUGCCCUCCGGUCUGGGAUAACCCUGGGAAACUAGGGCUAAUACCGGAUACGUGCUUUGGCAGAAAGGUUUACUGCCGGAGGAUCGGCCCGCGUCUGAUUAGCUAGUUGGUGGGGUAACGGCCUACCAAGGCGACGAUCAGUAGCUGGUCUGAGAGGAUGAUCAGCCACACUGGGACUGAGACACGGCCCAGACUCCUACGGGAGGCAGCAGUGGGGAAUAUUGGACAAUGGGCGCAAGCCCGAUCCAGCCAUGCCGCGUGAGUGAUGACGGCCUUAGGGUUGUAAAGCUCUUUUCUCCGGGACGAUAAUGACGGUACCGGAGGAAUAAGCCCCGGCUAACUUCGUGCCAGCAGCCGCGGUAAUACGAAGGGGGCUAGCGUUGCUCGGAAUCACUGGGCGUAAAGGGCGCGUAGGCGGCGUUUUAAGUCGGGGGUGAAAGCCUGUGGCUCAACCACAGAAUGGCCUUCGAUACUGGGACGCUUGAGUAUGGUAGAGGUUGGUGGAACUGCGAGUGUAGAGGUGAAAUUCGUAGAUAUUCGCAAGACACCGGUGGCGA
rnacentral:rRNA from 1 species